rnacentral:rRNA from 1 species
UACGUAGGGAGCAAGCGUUGUCCGGAAUCAUUGGGCGUAAAGCGCGCGUAGGUGGCCCCAUAAGUCCGCUGUGAAAGUCAAAGGCUCAACCUUUGAAAGCUGGUGGAUACUGUGGGACUAGAGUACGGAAGAGGCGAGUGGAAUUCCUGGUGUAGCGGUGGAAUGCGCAGAUAUCAGGAGGAACACCAAUAGCGAAGGCAGCUCGCUGGGACGUUACUGACACUGAGGCGCGAAAGCGUGGGGAGCGAACAGG